CCGGCGCACGGGUGAGUAACACGUAUGCAACCUGGCCGUGACAGAUGGAUAACCGGGAGAAAUCCCGCCUAAUACAGCAUGACGCCGGGAAGGGACAUCCCUUUCCGGCCAAAGGGGGCGACUCCGGUCAUGGAUGGGCAUGCGGCGCAUUAGGUAGUUGGUGGGGCAACGGCCCACCAAGCCGACGAUGCGUAGGGGUUCUGAGAGGAAGGUCCCCCACAUUGGAACUGAGACACGGUCCAAACUCCUACGGGAGGCAGCAG
rnacentral:rRNA from 1 species